rnacentral:rRNA from 1 species
UCCGUAGGGGGUCUGUCAAGUCGGGUGUGAAAUCCUGCGGCUCAACCGCGGAACUGCACUCGAUACUGACGGGCUUGAGUCCGCGAGGGGUGAACGGAAUUCCUGGUGUAGCGGUGGAAUGCGUAGAUAUCAGGAAGAACACCGAUGGCGAAGGCGGUUCACUGGCGCGGUACUGACCCUGAGGGACGAAAGCAUGGGUAGCGAACAGGAUUAGAUACCCUGGUAGUC